rnacentral:rRNA from 1 species
AUUGAACGCUGGCGGCAGGCCUAACACAUGCAAGUCGAGCGAGCGGCGGACGGGUGAGUAAUGUAUGGGGACUGCCCGAUAGAGGGGGAUAACUACUGGAAACGGUGGCUAAUACCGCAUACUAUCGGAUAACCCAUAUGGGAUUAGCUAGUAGGUGGGGUAAAGGCUCACCUAGGCGACGAUCGUUAGCUGGUCUGGGAGGAUGAUCUGCCACACUGGGACUUAGACACGGCCCAGACUCCUACGGUGGCAGCAGUGGAGAAUAUUGCACUAUGGGCGCAAGCCUGAUGCGGCCAUGCCGAGUGUAUAAAGAAGACCUUAGGGUUGUAAAGUACUUUCAGCGGGAAGGCGUUACCCGCAGAAGAAGCACCGGCUAACUCCGUGCCGGCAGCCGCGGUAAUAC